rnacentral:rRNA from 1 species
AACAAUUGACCUCAAAUCAGGCAAGAAUACCCGCUGAAAGCGGAGGAAAAGAAACUAACAAGGAUUCCCCUAGUAACGGCUAGUGAAGAGGGAAGAGCUCAAAUUUUAAAUCAGCCUUGUUUACAAGGUUGAAUUGUAGUUUGAAGAAGCGUUUUCUUGGUCGGGCGUAUGACCGGUAACAAGUUCCUUGGAAUAGGACAUCAUAGAGGGUGAUAAUCCCGUCCGUGCCGGCAUGUGUUCAUCUACGAUACGCUCUCAAAGAGUCGAGUUGUUUGAUAUUGCAACUCUAAAUGGGUGGUGUAAUUAUCACCUAAGGUUAAAUAUUGGCGAGAGACCGAUAGCGAACAAGUACCGUGAGGGAAAGAUGAAAAGAACUUUGAAAAGAGAGUUAAAAAGUACGUGAAAUUGUUGAAAGGGAAACGUUUGAAGUUAGUGGAACUGGCACAAAUUCAGCCUACGCAUCAAGGCAAUUAGCGCACUUUGCGAGCCUAAUGUGGGGUGCACUUUUGUAUCAGCUGGUUAACAUCAAUUUUGACCGUCAUGAAAAGGCUAAAUGGGAUGUGGCGAUGUGGCGAUGUGUCUCCUUCGUGAGUGCUACAACCGUUACAACCUUUAGCGGAAUGAUGUGGUGGUCGGGAUUGAGGAUUGCAACGAAUACCUUUAGGGCUGUGCUAGCUCGUCUGGCCACUCCUCUUUGGAUGUGUUCCGCCAAUUAGGAUGGGUAGUCGGAUUGGUGCAAAUUCGUUAAGGAUGUUAACGAAAUGGCUUUAAACGACC